UUUGGCGGCAAUAGCGCGGUGGUCCCACCUGACCCCAUGCCGAACUCAGAAGUGAAACGCCGUAGCGCCGAUGGUAGUGUGGGGCUUCCCAUGCGAGAGUAGGGAACCGCCAGAC
rnacentral:rRNA from 1 species